UUAGAUUAAAAUUUAUUUUUCUUCACAAUCACAGAUACAACUCUUUACUCUACGUGUCACUUUUAUAUCCAGCGAACUAUAGGGAGCGAACUAAAAACGAACUGGUUAUAGCGACGAUUUUAUCCAUCACUAUAGCAUAGAAAACCGGCUACAGGUGCGGGUGGUCUGCAUGCGGACCAACUAUAGCAGUUCGGUCCGUCGUUAUAGGUCAAUAAACCUUAUAUUUGUGCUAUAGUGACGGUCGGUCUGUCACUAUAGCUAUGACGACGGUUUGUUGAUCAACUGUCGUUCGAACCGUCGCUAUAAAUAGUGCACACCCAC
rnacentral:lncRNA from 1 species